UCUGUGUGUUAGGGAAUGGAUAUU
rnacentral:piRNA from 1 species